rnacentral:rRNA from 1 species
CCUACGGGAGGCAGCAGUGGGGGAUAUUGCACAAUGGGGGAAACCCUGAUGCAGCGACGCCGCGUGUGGGAAGACGGUCCUCUGGAUUGUAAACCACUGUUCCCAGGGACGAAGAUGACGGUACCUGGGGUGGAAGCUCCGGCUAACUACGAGCCAGCAGCCGCGGUAAUACGCAGGAAGCGAGCGUUGUCCGGAUUUACUGGGUGUAAAGGGAGUGUAGGCGGGACUGGAAGUUGGGUGUCAAAUCUACCGGCUCAACCGGUAGCCGCACUCAAAACUGCAGGUCUUGAGUGAAGUAGAGGCAGGCGGAAUGCCUAGUGUAGCGGUGAAAUGCGUAGAUAUUGGGAAGAACACCGAUGGCGAAGGCAGCCUGCUGGGCUUUUACUGACGCUGAGGCUCGAAAGUGUGGGGAGCGAACAGGAUUAGAUACCCGAGUAGUC